rnacentral:rRNA from 1 species
AUUGAACGCUGGCGGUAUGCCUUACACAUGCAAGUCGAACGGUAGAGGGGCAACCCUUGAGAGUGGCGAACGGGUGAGUAGUACAUCGGAACGUGCCCAGUCGUGGGGGAUAACGUAGCGAAAGCUACGCUAAUACCGCAUACGACCUGAGGGUGAAAGCGGGGGAUCGCAAGACCUCGCGCGAUUGGAGCGGCCGAUGGCAGAUUAGGUAGUUGGUGGGAUAAAAGCUUACCAAGCCGACGAUCUGUAGCUGGUCUGAGAGGACGACCAGCCACACUGGGGCUGAGACACGGCCCAGACUCCUACGGGAGGCAGCAGUGGGGAAUUUUGGACAAUGGGCGCAAGCUUGAUCCAGCCAUGCCGCGUGCAGGAUGAAGGCCUUCGGGUUGUAAACUGCUUUUGUACGGAACGAAAAGACUCUGGUUAAUACCUGGGGUCCAUGACGGUACCGUAAGAAUAAGCACCGGCUAACUACGUGCCAGCAGCCGCAGUAAAAC